GUGGCAAGGCCUCCCAUGGAUGGGUUUUUAUAUCAGCCUGUAUCACAGUGUUGGGUGUUCGGCGGAGGCACCCAGCUGACCGUCCUAGGUCAGCCAAAGUCUGCUCCUUCAAUCACCCUCUUCCCACCCUCUCCUGAGGAGCUCAAGGCCAACAAGGCCACCCUGGUGUGCCUCAUCAGUGACUUCUACCCCAGUGGCUUGACAGUGGCCUGGAAGGCAGAUGGCAACCCUGUCACCCAGGGCGUGGAGACCACCAAGCCCUCCAAACAGAGCAACAACAAGUACGCAGCCAGCAGCUACCUGAGCCUGUCACCUGACCGGUGGAAAUCUAGCAGCAGAUUCACCUGCCAGGUCACACAUGAGGGGAGCACCGUGGAGAAGAAUGUGGUCCCUGCAGAGUGCUCUUAGGUCAAGAGGCCCCCACCUACCCCCAAGGGGGUGCGCAGCCAUUGGACCUACAGGAAGGAUUUCCCUUGCACCAAGAUCGUCCCAGCCCUUCUCCCUUUAUUCAAUCAAUGCUCAAUAAA